rnacentral:rRNA from 1 species
GACGAACGCUGGCGGCGUGCUUAACACAUGCAAGUCGAACGGAAAGGCCCUGCUUUUGUGGGGUGCUCGAGUGGCGAACGGGUGAGUAACACGUGAGUAACCUGCCCUUGACUUUGGGAUAACUUCAGGAAACUGGGGCUAAUACCGGAUAGGAGCUCCUGCUGCAUGGUGGGGGUUGGAAAGUUUCGGCGGUUGGGGAUGGACUCGCGGCUUAUCAGCUUGUUGGUGGGGUAGUGGCUUACCAAGGCUUUGACGGGUAGCCGGCCUGAGAGGGUGACCGGCCACAAUGGGACUGAGAUACGGCCCAGACUCCUACGGGAGGCAGCAGGGGGGAAUAUUGCACAAUGGGCGGAAGCCUGAUGCAGCAACGCCGCGUGCGGGAUAACGGCCUUCGGGUUGUAAACCGCUUUCGCCUGUGACGAAGCGUGAGUGACGGUAAUGGGUAAAGAAGCACCGGCUAACUACGUG